GACGAACACUGGCGGCGUGCUUAACACAUGCAGGUCGAACGGAAAGGCCCUGCUUUUGUGGGGUGCUCGAGUGGCGAACGGGUGAGUAACACGUGAGUAACCUGCCCUUGACUUUGGGAUAACUUCAGGAAACUGGGGCUAAUACCGGAUAGGAGCUCCUGCUGCAUGGUGGGGGUUGGAAAGUUUCGGCGGUUGGGGAUGGACUCGCGGCUUAUCAGCUUGUUGGUGGGGUAGUGGCUUACCAAGGCUUUGACGGGUAGCCGGCCUGAGAGGGUGACCGGCCACAUUGGGACUGAGAUACGGCCCAGACUCCUACGGGAGGCAGCAGUGGGGAAUAUUGCACAAUGGGCGGAAGCCUGAUGCAGCAACGCCGCGUGCGGGAUGACGGCCUUCGGGUUGUAAACCGCUUUCGCCUGUGACGAAGCGUGAGUGACGGUAAUGGGUAAAGAAGCACCGGCUAACUACGUG
rnacentral:rRNA from 1 species